GCCAGAGUGGUGUAGUGGUUUGAGCAUUGGAUUGUGACUCUAGAGGCCAGGGUUCGAUUCCCAGCUCAGCCA